CCCUUCCUUGUCAUGGGGAGCUAAAUGUCCAGUGAACGGUUAGUGAGGGCAUAUUUGCUGACACCAUACAAAUUAACCCCGCAUCCACUUCUGUGAGGUGCAAUUUUUGGAAGC